CGCGUAUCCACCUUCCCUCCACCCGGGGAUACCCCGUUGAAAGACGGCCUAAUACCCGAUGUUGUCCACAUAUGGCAUCUGACGUGGACCAAAGAUUCAUCGGUGGAGGAUGGGGAUGCGUCUGAUUAGCUUGUUGGUGCGGGUAACGGCCCACCAAGGCGACGAUCAGUAGGGGUUCUGAAAGGAAGGUCCCCCACAUUGGAACUGAGACACGGUCCAAACUCCUACGGGAGGCAGCAGUGAGGAAUAUUGGUCAAUGGACGUAACUCUGAACCAGCCAAGUAGCGUGCACGAUUGACGGCCCUAUGGGUUGUAAACUGCU
rnacentral:rRNA from 1 species